UGCGUAGGCGGCCAAUCAAGUUAGAUGUGAAAGCCCAAGGCUCAACCUUGGAACUGCAUUUAAUACUGGUAGGCUAGAGAUUGGAAGAGGUGAAUGGAAUUCCCAGUGUAGAGGUGGAAUUCGUAGAUAUUGGGAAGAACACCGGAUGCGAAGGCGGUUCACUGGUCCAAAACUGACGCUGAGGCACGAAAGCGUGGGGAGCAAACAGGAUUAGAUACCCUGGUAGUCC
rnacentral:rRNA from 1 species